CUAUCAUUAACUGAAUCCAUAGGUUAAUGAGGCGAACCGGGGGAACUGAAACAUCUAAGUACCCCGAGGAAAAGAAAUCAACCGAGAUUCCCCCAGUAGCGGCGAGCGAACGGGGAGCAGCCCAGAGCCUGAAUCAGUGUGUGUGUUAGUGGAAGCGUCUGGAAAGGCGCGCGAUACAGGGUGACAGCCCCGUACACAAAAAUGCACAUGCUGUGAGCUCGAUGAGUAGGGCGGGACACGUGGUAUCCUGUCUGAAUAUGGGGGGACCAUCCUCCAAGGCUAAAUACUCCUGACUGACCGAUAGUGAACCAGUACCGUGAGGGAAAGGCGAAAAGAACCCCGGCGAGGGGAGUGAAAAAGAACCUGAAACCGUGUACGUACAAGCAGUGGGAGCACGCUUAGGCGUGUGACUGCGUACCUUUUGUAUAAUGGGUCAGCGACUUAUAUUCUGUAGCAAGGUUAACCGAAUAGGGGAGCCGAAGGGAAACCGAGUCUUAACUGGGCGUUAAGUUGCAGGGUAUAGACCCGAAACCCGGUGAUCUAGCCAUGGGCAGGUUGAAGGUUGGGUAACACUAACUGGAGGACCGAACCGACUAAUGUUGAAAAAUUAGCGGAUGACUUGUGGCUGGGGGUGAAAGGCCAAUCAAACCGGGAGAUAGCUGGUUCUCCCCGAAAGCUAUUUAGGUAGCGCCUCGUGAAUUCAUCUCCGGGGGUAGAGCACUGUUUCGGCAAGGGGGUCAUCCCGACUUACCAACCCGAUGCAAACUGCGAAUACCGGAGAAUGUUAUCACGGGAGACACACGGCGGGUGCUAACGUCCGUCGUGAAGAGGGAAACAACCCAGACCGCCAGCUAAGGUCCCAAAGUCAUGGUUAAGUGGGAAACGAUGUGGGAAGGCCCAGACAGCCAGGAUGUUGGCUUAGAAGCAGCCAUCAUUUAAAGAAAGCGUAAUAGCUCACUGGUCGAGUCGGCCUGCGCGGAAGAUGUAACGGGGCUAAACCAUGCACCGAAGCUGCGGCAGCGACGCUUAUGCGUUGUUGGGUAGGGGAGCGUUCUGUAAGCCUGCGAAGGUGUGCUGUGAGGCAUGCUGGAGGUAUCAGAAGUGCGAAUGCUGACAUAAGUAACGAUAAAGCGGGUGAAAAGCCCGCUCGCCGGAAGACCAAGGGUUCCUGUCCAACGUUAAUCGGGGCAGGGUGAGUCGACCCCUAAGGCGAGGCCGAAAGGCGUAGUCGAUGGGAAACAGGUUAAUAUUCCUGUACUUGGUGUUACUGCGAAGGGGGGACGGAGAAGGCUAUGUUGGCCGGGCGACGGUUGUCCCGGUUUAAGCGUGUAGGCUGGUUUUCCAGGCAAAUCCGGAAAAUCAAGGCUGAGGCGUGAUGACGAGGCACUACGGUGCUGAAGCAACAAAUGCCCUGCUUCCAGGAAAAGCCUCUAAGCAUCAGGUAACAUCAAAUCGUACCCCAAACCGACACAGGUGGUCAGGUAGAGAAUACCAAGGCGCUUGAGAGAACUCGGGUGAAGGAACUAGGCAAAAUGGUGCCGUAACUUCGGGAGAAGGCACGCUGAUAUGUAGGUGAAGUCCCUCGCGGAUGGAGCUGAAAUCAGUCGAAGAUACCAGCUGGCUGCAACUGUUUAUUAAAAACACAGCACUGUGCAAACACGAAAGUGGACGUAUACGGUGUGACGCCUGCCCGGUGCCGGAAGGUUAAUUGAUGGGGUCAGCGCAAGCGAAGCUCUUGAUCGAAGCCCCGGUAAACGGCGGCCGUAACUAUAACGGUCCUAAGGUAGCGAAAUUCCUUGUCGGGUAAGUUCCGACCUGCACGAAUGGCGUAAUGAUGGCCAGGCUGUCUCCACCCGAGACUCAGUGAAAUUGAACUCGCUGUGAAGAUGCAGUGUACCCGCGGCAAGACGGAAAGACCCCGUGAACCUUUACUAUAGCUUGACACUGAACAUUGAGCCUUGAUGUGUAGGAUAGGUGGGAGGCUUUGAAGUGUGGACGCCAGUCUGCAUGGAGCCGACCUUGAAAUACCACCCUUUAAUGUUUGAUGUUCUAACGUUGACCCGUAAUCCGGGUUGCGGACAGUGUCUGGUGGGUAGUUUGACUGGGGCGGUCUCCUCCUAAAGAGUAACGGAGGAGCACGAAGGUUGGCUAAUCCUGGUCGGACAUCAGGAGGUUAGUGCAAUGGCAUAAGCCAGCUUGACUGCGAGCGUGACGGCGCGAGCAGGUGCGAAAGCAGGUCAUAGUGAUCCGGUGGUUCUGAAUGGAAGGGCCAUCGCUCAACGGAUAAAAGGUACUCCGGGGAUAACAGGCUGAUACCGCCCAAGAGUUCAUAUCGACGGCGGUGUUUGGCACCUCGAUGUCGGCUCAUCACAUCCUGGGGCUGAAGUAGGUCCCAAGGGUAUGGCUGUUCGCCAUUUAAAGUGGUACGCGAGCUGGGUUUAGAACGUCGUGAGACAGUUCGGUCCCUAUCUGCCGUGGGCGCUGGAGAACUGAGGGGGGCUGCUCCUAGUACGAGAGGACCGGAGUGGACGCAUCACUGGUGUUCGGGUUGUCAUGCCAAUGGCACUGCCCGGUAGCUAAAUGCGGAAGAGAUAAGUGCUGAAAGCAUCUAAGCACGAAACUUGCCCCGAGAUGAGUUCUCCCUGACUCCUUGA
rnacentral:rRNA from 1 species